rnacentral:tRNA from 1 species
CCCUGGGUGGCUCAAACAGUUAAGCAUUCGACUGCUAGUCGAAAAUUUGGUGGUUCAAACCCACCCAGAGGUU